UUAUAUUUGAGAGUUUCUUGCAGGCGUCCUUUGUCAAAGAUGCACCAAUUUCUGUCAACCGUGUAACAUGGAAUUCUGAUGGAAGUCUUGUGGGAGGUGCAUUUAAUAAGCAUUUGGUUCACCUGUAUGCUUAUAAUGGAUCAAAUGAUCUACGCCAGCAGUUAGAGAUUGAUGCUCACGUUGGGGGUGUUAAUGACUUGGCUUUUGCUCAUCCAAACAAACAACUGUGUGUUGUAACCUGUGGAGAUGAUAAGCUAAUAAAGGUAAA